GAGCGGUAACAUUUCUAGCUUGCUAGAAGAUGACGAGCGGCGGACGGGUGAGUAAUGCUUGGGAAUAUGCCUUAUGGUGGGGGACAACAGUUGGAAACGACUGCUAAUACCGCAUAACGUCUACGGACCAAAGGGGGGGAUCUUCGGACCUCUCGCCAUUUGAUUAGCCCAAGUGAGAUUAGCUAGUUGGUAAGGUAAUGGCUUACCAAGGCGACGAUCUCUAGCUGGUUUGAGAGGAUGAUCAGCCACACUGGGACUGAGACACGGCCCAGACUCCUACGGGAGGCAGCAGUGGGGAAUAUUGCACAAUGGGCGAAAGCCUGAUGCAGCCAUGCCGCGUGUGUGAAGAAGGCCUUCGGGUUGUAAAGCACUUUCAGUAAGGAGGAAAGGGUUGUAGUUAAUAACUGCAUUCUGUGACGUUACUUACAGAAGAAGCACCGGCUAACUUCGUGCCAGCAGCCGCGGUAAUACGAGGGGUGCAAGCGUUAAUCGGAAUUACUGGGCGUAAAGCGUUCGUAGGCGGUUAUUUAAGCAAGAUGUGAAAGCCCAGGGCUCAACCUUGGAACUGCAUUUUGAACUGGAUGACUAGAGUACUGUAGAGGGUGGUGGAAUUUCCAGUGUAGCGGUGAAAUGCGUAGAGAUUGGAAGGAACAUCAGUGGCGAAGGCGGCCACCUGGACAGAUACUGACGCUGAGGAACGAAAGCGUGGGGAGCGAACAG
rnacentral:rRNA from 1 species